rnacentral:piRNA from 1 species
UUCUUGUGCAAACCUCGGGGUGGGGUGCC